rnacentral:rRNA from 1 species
CGUGCAGGCGGUCUAUCAAGUUGGAUGUGAAAGCUCCCGGCUUAACUGGGAGAGGUCGUUCAAUACUGUUAGACUAGAGAAUGGGAGAGGGAGGUGGAAUUCCGGGUGUAGUGGUGAAAUGCGUAGAUAUCCGGAGGAACACCAGUGGCGAAAGCGGCCUCCUAGACCAUUUCUGACGCUAAGACGCGAAAGCUAGGGUAGCAAACAGGAUUAGAUACCCUGGUAGUC